rnacentral:rRNA from 1 species
UCGCCCCUUUUUUUACAAAAACAUGUUUUUUUGUAUAAUAAUUUAAGAUUUGACCUGCCCACUGAUAAUAAAUUGAAGGGCCGCGGUAUUUUGACCGUGCAAAGGUAGCAUAAUCAUUAGUCCUUUAAUUGUGGACUGGAAUGAAUGGUUUGACGAGGUAUUUACUGUCUCAUUUUAAUAAUUUGAAUUUAACUUUUGAGUCAAAAGGCUUAAAUGAUUUUAUAGGACGAGAAGACCCUAUAGAGCUUAAUAAUUAUUAAUUAUAAUAUAUUUUUAGUUAAUUAUUUUUAUUAUAAUUUUAAUUAUUUUAUUGGGGUGAUAUAAAGAAUUAUAAAACUCUUUAUUUUUAAGAACAUUGAUUUAUGAUUAAUUGAUCCAUUAUUAAUGAUUAUAAGAUUAAGUUACCUUAGGGAUAACAGCGUUAUUUUUUUUGAGAGUUCUUAUCAACAGAAAAGAUUGCGACCUCGAUGUUGGAUUAAGGUAAAUAUUGGGUGUAGAAGUUCAAUAAAUGGGUCUGUUCGACCAUUAAAUCCUUACGUGAUCUGAGUUUCAGA